rnacentral:rRNA from 1 species
CCUACGGGUGGCUGCAGUCGAGAAUUUUUCUCAAUGGGCGCAAGCCUGAAGGAGCGACGCCGCGUGGGGGAUGAAGGGUUUCGAUCCGUAAACCCCUGUCAUUUGUGAACAAUGGUUACCGUUGAACAUUCGGUGACUUGAUAGUAAUGAAAGAGGAAGGGACGGCUAACUCUGUGCCAGCAGCCGCGGUAAUACAGAGGUCCCGAGCGUUGUUCGGAUUCACUGGGCGUAAAGGGUGCGUAGGUGGCAUGGUAAGUUUGAUGUGAAAGCUCAGG